UACAGAGGUCUCAAGCGUUGUUCGGAUUCAUUGGGCGUAAAGGGUGUGUAGGUGGCGCGCUAAGUCGGGUGUGAAAUUUCGGAGCUUAACUCCGAAACUGCAUUCGAUACUGGCGUGCUUGAGGACUGGAGAGGAGACUGGAAUUCAUGGUGUAGCAGUGAAAUGCGUAGAGAUCAUGAGGAAGACCAGUGGCGAAGGCGGGUCUCUGGACAGUUCCUGACACUGAGACACGGAGGCCAGGGAGCAAACGGG
rnacentral:rRNA from 1 species